AUUGAACGCUGGCGGCAGGCCUAACACAUGCAAGUCGAACGAGUGGCGGACGGGUGAGUAAUGUCUGGGAAACUGACCGAUGGAGGGGGAUAACUACUGGAAACGGUAGCUAAUACCGCAUACCAUCGGAUGUGCCCAGAUGGGAUUAGCUAGUAGGUGGGGUAACGGCUCACCUAGGCGACGAUCCCUAGCUGGUCUGAGAGGAUGACCAGCCACACUGGAACUGAGACACGGUCCAGACUCCUACGGGAGGCAGCAGUGGGGAAUAUUGCACAAUGGGCGCAAGCCUGAUGCAGCCAUGCCGCGUGUAUGAAGAAGGCCUUCGGGUUUUAAAGUACUUUCGGCGAGUAGGCGUUACUCGCCGGAGAAGCCCCGGCUAACUCCGUGCCAGCAGCCGCGGUAAUUC
rnacentral:rRNA from 1 species